CACGUUGAAACACCGGUUUCCAUACAAUCACUGAAGUUAAGCAACGUCGAGCAUGGUCAGCACCUAGAUGGGUGACCGCUUGGAAAUACUAUGUGCUGUAAG